GAUGAACGCUGGCGGCGUGCCUAAUACAUGCAAGUCGAGCGAACAGACGAGGAGCUUGCUCCUCUGACGUUAGCGGCGGACGGGUGAGUAACACGUGGAUAACCUACCUAUAAGACUGGGAUAACUUCGGGAAACCGGAGCUAAUACCGGAUAAUAUAUUGAACCGCAUGGUUCAAUAGUGAAAGACGGUUUUGCUGUCACUUAUAGAUGGAUCCGCGCCGCAUUAGCUAGUUGGUAAGGUAACGGCCUACCAAGGCAACGAUGCGUAGCCGACCUGAGAGGGUGAUCGGCCACACGGGAACUGAGACACGGUCCAGACUCCUACGGGAGGCAGCAGUAGGGAAUCUGCCGCAAUGGGCGAAAGCCUGACGGAGCAACGCCGCGUGAGUGAUGAAGGUCUUCGGAUCGUAAAACUCUGUUAUUAGGGAAGAACAAAUGUGUAAGUAACUAUGCACGUCUUGACGGUACCUAAUCAGAAAGCCACGGCUAACUACGUG
rnacentral:rRNA from 1 species